UGCUUGGAAGGGGGAGAAUUUUGAGUUGAUAUCGCCACUCCAAGUUCGUCCGUCCUGUUGGUUGACUUGGUCGCCGGAAAAGCCGCACUGUAGGGUGAUGUCAUCGACCGGUUUGUAGGCAGAAGGUGAGUUUCCGGCGACGUGUAGGGUUAUGAUUUGCAGAAACAGGGUAAGGAACAGAUGAGCAAGAUUGGGAUUCAUGGUUAGGUGUUUGCUACAUAUGGAAACGGGGGAAUCUGUUGCUGAUUAUUAUCGUAAGCUUAUCAAAAUUCCAUUUAUAAUUAAACUUCUAACUGGAUUUUGGAUACUUUAAUGGUGAAGUGUUCAGUUGUAAUUUGAAAACUGGGUGCUUGAAAAUUCAGAGGUUUUUUUUUUUUUUUUUCCACCAAAUUUCUGAUGAAUAUUAAAGCAGUUUGUCUUGUCCUCUACUCUUAGUUGUUAUAUUAUUGUUGAAUGCACAAUUAUUGAAAAUCUAGGGUCAAAACAAAAGUAGUGGGGCAUGAGAGAAAAUUUAAUGGAGGAAUGACUUCUCCGGCACUUUAGAAAGGAUUAAGCUUUAGAAAAACUAAUAAAAAGUGUUUGAAAAUUUUGAGUUUUAACAAUAAGGAUAAAAUAAAAGGUAAAAUGAAUAGUACCAGGAUUGAUUUUUUAGUGUAAAAAUAGAAUUUUUCGUUAAAGUAAACAGUACCGUAAGUUUUUCGUUAAAGUUCUCUGAAUUUGUUAAUGGUUCUUUAUGCCACAAUUACCCUGAAUUUGUUUCAUUUAAAUCUCUCUCUCAUGGAUCAAAGACUUUGAAUGUGGUCUAAAUUCUUAAAGAUUCUCAAUCAUCAACAGUAACGUUAAUAGACUACACACAAAGGGUAGUGGUGGUGGACUUGAAGAGUCAAAGUCUUUGUCACAAGUCUUUAUGCAUGGUGGGUCGUUUGCUUGUAUACUUUUCCAAACAAAUAGAUUAACUUGUUAUAUAUUCUUACGGUUAAUGCUUGGUAGAAAAGUCUCACCACUAGCAAGUUGCAAACAACCCGUGAAAUGGUAUCCAGCUAUGAGUUAGUAAACGUCAUUUUAACAAGCAUGUCUCUUUUCAAAUGUGACUUUUGUGGUAAGGUGAUGAUAUUAUCCCCACAGAUUUUUGUUAGCAUUGAUGCAUUUGGGGAUUACAUGUAUCAUUGAUUUUAAGUGCACAUAAACGACUAACAUAUAAGAGGUUUAUGUUGACUUGUCGCUGGAAAAGCCACACUAAAGGGUGAUGUCAUCGACCGGAGUGUACACGGAGGCUGAGUCUGCGGCCACAUGUAGGGUUAUGAUUAAACCUCUACUAUGAGUUGUUAUGUUAGGAAAAUGAUCAUCGCCGGAUCUUUUUUCUAUGGAUCAUGGGGAUUCCGUUAUCGUGAUCGUUCAUUGUAUAUCGUGUAAUUAGAAAUCAUUUCAAAAUUAAAAAUUAAAAAUUAAAUAUAAAUAGUACCUAACGAAAAUUGAUCGCAUGAUGUACGAUGAACGAUCACAAUCACAUGAUUCCCACCGGAUCCUUUUCCGUUAUGUUAUUGUUUGCAUGCACAAAUAUUGAAAAUCUAGGGCAAAACAAAAGUAGUGGGACAUGAUUUCAUGGAGGAGUUCAUCGUUGAUUCAUCAGGAUGGAGAUAAUUUUUAGUGUGUUUGGGAAUAUAUGACUGGUAUAUCUAGUGUUAUAACAUAAUUGGUUAAAUUUUUUUUUUCAAGAGUCUAAUUAAUUGUAUUAUGACACUUGGUAUACUGGGUUAUGUUCUUGAUACUAAAAAAUAUAUUGGCACAAUGACUUCUCAAACCACUAACUAAUAUAUGAUCAUGAGUGGAAUUUUUUCUGAUAUCACCUUGUAUUAGUGGUUCAAUACACCACAAUUAUAUUGAAUUCGUUUCAUUUAAGUCUUUUUCGAACUAGAUGAAUCAAAGGCUUUAAAAGGAAGGUCAUCAUCCAGAAAGAUGACCAAACAAUACCCGCCAGAGAUUUAAAUGUCAAAUAAUUGGUUGCAUGUCUCUAUCAUCGAGAGUAAAGUUAAUCCAUAUUAUCUAUCUAUAUUAUUAAGAGAAGAGGGCUUGUCAACUUUUUUCCCCCAUUUCUUCCAAUUUUGCUCUCAUUUUUUAACACACAAUAUUGACAUGAGGAGGGCAAAAUAGUAAUUUUGUAUCUUUUGAACUCUUUCCCCUUUUCUUCCAAUUUUGCCCUCAUUUUUUAAUACACAAUGUUGAUAUGAUGAGGGCAAAAUAGUAAUUUUGUAUCUUUUGAACUUUUUCCCCUUUUUUCCUAUUUUGCCCUCACUUUUGAUACACAAUAUCUACAUAAGGAGGGCAAAAUAGUAUUUUUAUAUUGAAAUAUUUACAUAAGAUAAAAAAUAUGCAUUUAUUAAGAGAAAUUAUCCCUCCAUCAUUUUUUCAUACAUGUAAGUGAAAUCAUAAUGUUUUUUUGAUAGUUUGAAUGAACUGAAGCGGUUGCGCUUGAGGAGAACGUGGGAGGUGGUGGACGGUUUUUCCCCUUUUUUCCUAUUUUGCCCUCACUUUUCAUACACACUAUUGACAAAUAGGAGGGCAAAUAGGAAAACAAAAGGGGGAAAAAAGUUGACAAUAAGGCUUCUCUUAAUAAUAGUAUAGGAAACAAAUAUGCAUUUAGUAAGAGAAAUUGUUCACACACACACUUGUGCUCUCUGCUAGUAGACUUAAUACAAAGGGUAGUCGACGAAAUAUCCAAAAUCUUUGCCACAAGUCUUUAUGCAUAGUGAUUUGCUUGUAUACUUUUCCAAACAACAAGUAGAGAUUGUGUUGUUAACUUGUUAUAUAGUCUUAAGGAAAAUGCUAGGUAGAAACGUCUCACCACUAACAAGUAACAACCAACCCGUCAAAUGGUAUCGAGGUAUGACUUGGUAUACGUCAUUUUAACAAGCAUGUGUCUUUACAAUGUGAUUUUUGAGGUAAGAUGAUGAUAAUACACACACAGAUUUUCGUUAGCAUUGAUGCAUUUUGUGAUUUACAUGUACUAUUGAUUUUAAGUGCAUAUAGACGACUGAUUCUAAGUGUACAUAGAUGACUGACAUACCCUAUUCUUAUAAGGUACUUGAACAAAUUAAUACCUAAUAUACUCGACCAUCCUUAUAUAAUAUAGUUUGGCUACAAUAAUAUUAGGGGAUAUCCUCAAUCUGUUGAGGUUUUGCGAUUUAGAUGUGUUAUUGAUUUUAAGUGCCUACAGACAACUGAUUCUAAAGUGCACAUAGACAACUGACAUACCCUCUUCUUAUAAGGUACUUGAACAAAUUAAUACUUAAUAUACUCGACCAUCCUUAUAUAAUAUAGUUUGGCUACAAUAAUAUUAGGGGAUAUCCUCAAUCAGUUGAGGUUUUGAGCUUCUGCCUAGCUAAGUUUAUGUUAACAUGGUGUAUAGUGUAUAUAACCAAAAAAGCACAUUGUCUUCAUAGAAUUUAUGUUCAUCUAUUUUGAAAUGGAAGUAAAAUAAAGCCAACAAGUUACAAGAAAACCCUUAUUUGACUAAAAUUUAUGAUUAAACUUCUACUAGUCAAGAUCUAUAAAAAUUAGUGAUAAUUAUGUGAUUAAUGAAUGGGAGACACAAUAUAUUGGGUGAUGCUAUCCAUACGCAUUCCAUUUUACUUUUCCUUAGCCGUUAGGUUGAACGAAUUGAAAGAAUCAAAAGACCAAAAUUAACAGAGGUAUAGGCACCACCCUAUAUAUUAUACAACAAUAUGAACCAUUAUUUUUUAAUGUGAAACAUUUUAAACCAUGAAUCUACUCUCAAAACACAUUAGUAUAAAUAAUUAAACGACAGAAGUGGAAAAUAUUUUUUGUAAUCUGUUGGGAGCUUGAGGUUUCCAAAUUCAAAUUCAAGAGGUUGGGUUAGGCUCGCCGGAUGACUUCAAGAUUAGCUUUCAACGUCGUGAUCAUGGAGACGGUAUCUCAUUCGAUGGGGCAAGUGGACUUUUGGACCAUGCUUUUGCUCCCACGGAUGGAAGGCUGCACUUGGAUGCAGAUGAACGAACUCGAUCUGGUUUGAGGCCUCCAAGUAAGAACAAACUUGAUCCGGUUUGGGUGGCUACGCACGAAAGGACUGGGUUCACCUCCGGAUCCCAGCCUGCAAAGCCAGCUGACCUCAAGAUCUCAUCCUUCCAUUUUUGAUCUUGUGGCCAGGAAUAAUGAAAAAUUUUCACGCAAAACAAGGCAAGAUGAAAAUGGAAGGAUGCGAUCUUGUGGUCAAUUGGCUCCGCAGGAUGGGAUCCGUAGGUGAUCCCAGUCCGUCGUGAUAGAAAUGGCCCUUCAUGACUUUAGUUGUGAAAAUAAACAUCAAUAAAAUAAAAUUGUUUAAGUGUCUGAUAAAUUUGUUUUAUAAAAGUACUUUUAACUAAAAAAACAAUGUUUGAUAAACUUUUGUAUAAAAUUGCUAUGAGCAUAUUAAAUGACUAAAACUGAUCACCAUGCUUUGAAAAAAAAAAGAAAAAAAAAAGGUCUUUUUCAGAUGGUAGACUCUGCUUCCACGUUUCUAUGCUUUUCAUAUUUGAUGUUCUAAAUUUUUUAAUAAGCUUUUUUUUUUUUUUUUUAAAGCAUCACAACUCCAAACCAACCUGUAAUCACUUCAGGCAUUGGGAAUCGAAGGAUGUGCACCAUCAGUUCGGAAAUUUUCCUUGAGCAUCUCCGCAGGUAUGUUGUCUCCGAUUUCUUUGAAUAAAAAUUCAGGCAACGGGGAGUUGAAGCACACCUUCGAAGCUGUCAAACUCGUUAGGAGUUUUAUCGAACAAGGCUUCGAGCUCCGGUCUAAUGAAUUGGGCUAUAAUUUCAGUGCAUGUGCCAGGACGUCUGACAUCUUCCGGUGUCCAAAUCGUAGCUUACGACAUUGCUGCAUAGAUAACCCUCCUCAUAUUGGUUGUUGAAUUAGAGUUUUAUCUCAACCAAUUAAUGUAUUAAUGAAGCAUUGUAAUCGUAGGUAAUUUCCAUUUACUAACCUAGGUAUAAAGCAAAGAGAAAUACUUAGUUACUGAUAAAUCUUUUUUUUUUUUUUUUUGACAAAUGGGAGAAUAAUCUGCACUGAAUUUUUCUAACUAUGGGGAUGGGAGAAAAUUUAAACUAGAAAAAUAGUGGGUUGAAGAGAAACGCUCUAUCUACCAAGCAAUCUGUCACUUGCUUGACCAAUCAAUUAGUUAUCUUGUUAUUGAUCACAAUCUGUUUUUUUCAAUAAUAUUACAAAAAAUGCCAUGGGAAUCGUAGGUCAUGUUUCUAAGUUGUGUCAUUUCUCAUUUCCUAAAUUAUAACAUAUUGUUGAUCAACAUAAGUGUUUUGUAAUUAAUAUUGUAAUCAAUAACUUGAACUUCGCUUUAUAUUGUAUGGAAUCCGCAGAUCGUAAAACCAUGUAUGGGGGCUAAUGCAUAUCCUGUGUUGGAAGGUCAAGGAAGCUAAUGGCCUAAUGCCAUGGGAGCCGGCAAUUAAAACUUCAGUGAGAAGCGAUCAUAACUAUAACGGUCCUAAGUCAGAAAAUUUCUUGUCGAAUAAGUUUCAAGUUCCAACAAAAUACGAAAGACAUAACGAUCUGGACAAUCUCAAGUAGUUCCAACCCAAAACCCAAUUGUCAAAUGAACCUCACACCUUCGUCAAGCUCUGUAGGCUAGUUGGUAUCCACAUUCCCAAAGGGCCAAAUGGACCAUAUCAAAUCAACCCAAUCAAAAGCCCAAUCAGAUUGCAAACAACCCACAUCCAAAUCAAACACGGGUCAGAAAUGACCCAAAUUUCAAAUCGGGUUAGUCUUCUCUGUCUGUCUUCCCCUAAAACCCUAAACUUUCUUUUACUCUGUUGUCACAGAAAACGCAAAAGUUUUCAAUCUUUGAAAAUCGUGAGGAACCAUGAUGAACGGCGGUCGGCACCAAAACAAAUUCGCAUGGAAGCCAAACCUCGGCGUCAAAAUCAACGAAACCGAGGUCGGAGGUCGGUUCCGGCCGCUGUCGGAGAUAACGGGGGUCUGCCAGCGCUGCAAGGAACAGAUCGAGUGGAAGCGCCGUUACGGAAAGUACAAGACCCUGACGGAGCCCGCCAAGUGCCAACGUUGUACCAAACGCGCCGUCCGUCAGUCCCACCAUAAGCUCUGUGCUGCUUGUGCCAAGGAACAACGUGUUUGUGCGAAGUGUUGCUGUCGUGUCGAGCAAAUUGUCGGAAAAGACCUUGCGGAAGUGGAGUCUGAGCAGAAGCAGCUUCAAGAGGUUUGAUUUUUUUUAAUGUUGUUUUUGUUAAGUUUCCAGUUUUUAACUGGUUUUCGAUUCGAAAAUUGACGAAAAUUGAUGGUUUUCGAUUCAAAAAUGCAAGAGAAAGAGAUAGGAGGAGUCUAUUGCGUGUGGCAUGUUCUCGAAUUUGAACACAUUUGUUUGUUCUUGUAUUGGAUUGUGAAUCAAAAGUUGCAUAAUUUGUGAUCUCGGAUAGUACUGUAACCGACGAAUGCUGGAAAAAAAAAAUAUCCGGGUGUAGCGAAAGCUGCAAGCGAGAAAGGAGACAAAGCGGGGGACCUGUUCCCGUCUGCGUCACUCGAAGAAUAUGCAGAGGCAAGCAGAGAUGAUGACGAUGAUGAUGACGAUGACGACGGUGACGAUGGCGAUGAUGGUGAAGGCGAAGAAGAUGAGGCACAUGUUUGCAAUUAAAAGAGGUUCUAAGUAGUAUUUCAGUUGCCUAUGAUCGUGUACUGUGCCCAUCCUUUGCUCGCAAGUUCGAAAUCGCUUGCAUCUCUCUGUACUGUCAGUGACAAAUUGGGCAAAGAUAUCCUCGUUUCUUCAACACCAUGAAGAAGGUCUUGAAGAAGUUAACUGAUCAUCGUCUUUUUGUCUUGAAGAAGUAAACGGAUCAACGGGUUUUUUUUUUUUUUUGAGAAAAUUUGAAAUAGGUACAAGUUUAUAGCCCUACUUUUGAAAUAAGUCCAAAUUUAAUAACUUUUGACUUUUGAAAUAGGUUCAAUUUUUAGUUACUUGACAUUUUUUUUUCUUUUCAUGUUUGUUUGUUUUAGUGGUCGGACCCAUAAUUUUGUGCAAGUGCUUAUGCACAGAAACCUUGAACUUUUGUUCGUUUUUAAUUAUCAAUGUAGGUCUUGUUUAAUAUUACCACAGAUCAAGUUGCAUUGCUUUUGGGGUUCUUGGGUUAGAAGCAAACUGCUAAUAAAGUAUGCUGGGCACCUGGGGAAGAUCGAAAACUCAAUAGAAAAAUAAGAGAGAUCCAACUUCACUCUUCAAGUCAACAGCUUCGAGAUUGAUUGAAUCUUCAAAUGGUUGUUAUUUCUACGAGUUGGAAGGAAGAAGAAAGCCGAUCUUACGAAAUGCAAAAGGAGAGCAGUUUUAAGCUAGUCAGAUGCCGUCUUGUGACGAUGCUGUGUACCAUUCUCCUUGUCAGCCCCGUUACAGUUUUCAUUUUCGGCUUCCAUAUCUCAUAUCCGCAAUCCUUUUUGUCCUUCAACACCAGUAUCUCCCAUGACCAAAUUGUUUUGCCUCACUCCCUGCCCGCGGAUGUCUCUCAUUUGCAGAUCCAGCUGGGACUUUUGUCGCAGCAGCUGCAUAAUGAAAGUUCCGAAUCAAAAGUACUUGCGAAAUUUUCGGAUCAGGUGCUUCGCAUCGCCAUUUCUUUGGACAAACUUGCUGAUUGCAUUAAAAAGAAGCAUCAUCCGGACAAAGAUGAAGUAAGCACCGUGGAUGAAGAUUUCACAAAUCCAGAGGAAGGUGAAGCUGAAGCUGAAGAACAGGUUCCAGGUGGCACAAUCUUCACUUCAGGUGAGAUUCGUAUUUACAUUUCACCAAAACAAAACAGGCAGAUUGGGAAGAAAAAUUUUCUUGUGGUAGAAGCAAUAACUCCAUCAGUUGGGUUGGCUUGUGCCCGAACGGCGCCGGUUUAUGAGUUACAAACGGCAUGUGCCCAGAUGAUUCGGAAAUAGCUCAGAAGCUUUUAUUUCAUGGAAGUGAUCCAUUGCCAAGAAGAAGAUGCUUCACAAAAUCACCGCCAUACUACACCAAGCCACUUCCUAUAAACUUCUCCCUUUGGACUCAACCUAGCAAUGCUAACAUCUUAUGGAACAAUUACAAGUGCAAAGACUACUCUUGCCUUGUUUCGAAAGAAACCAAGGACAGAAGAGGCUUCUUCAAAUGCUCAGACUGUUUUAACUUUUCAAAACAAACGUGGGACACUCCAACAAACGAGUCCGAAUCGGCAUAGUUCACCAUUGAUGAAGUUCUAAGCUUAAAGCCAGGGGAGAUAAGAAUCGGCCUAGACUUCAGGUCGACCACGGGAAUAUUUGCUGGUAUCAUGAGGGAAAAGAACGUUACCAUUGCAUCAAGUACCUUAAACUUAGGGUCUCCUUUCAAUGAGAUCAUUGUCUUAAGAGGUCUUCUUCCUCUUUACACAUCAAUCGGUUCGAGCCUACCUUUCUUCGACAACACCCUUGACAUUAUCCAUUCGACUUUGUUCUUGGAUGGCUGGAUUGGAGCUGAACUCCUUCAGUUUGUAUUGUUUGAUUGGGACUGCGUCCUCCGGCCGAAGGGUCUUCUUGGGAUAGACAGGUUCUUCUGUCACAAGGAAGACAUGAAGUUGUAUUUGGAUGAGUUUAAGAGGUUAGGCUACAAGCCAUUGCUAUGGAGUGUAGUGCCCAAGACUGAGCUCUUCUUCUCAGCUGUUCUGGGGAAGCCAAUCAGAGGUUAAUAAUCGUCGUUAACAAGUAAAUUUCUCAAUAUCUUAGCGUUUUAAUGAAUUCCGUGAUAUUUUAAUGAGUAAUACUUGUCAUUAACAACAGGGAUUAAGCAUUUCUAUCGUACUUAGUAAGGUUUGCAAUUACAUUGAUAUUUUAAAGAGAAAAAUAUAUAGCAACAUGAAAUUAUUAUAUAACUUGUAUUAAUAACGCAUUUUAGAGUACUUGGAGCUAACGGAAGACUAGACAUAAAAUAGAGCGUAGUGGCGUUCUAAAAUUCAUACAACCGAAUAUAAAAUUUCUGUAUAUAGAUCUCGACCAAUGCUUUUUGCUUGAGAAGUUGAACGGCAGGCAUUUAAAAUUUCUGUAUAUAGAUUUCGAGAUAGGUCACCAAAAGUAUAUCCACUCCAAUUUCGUUUAUCAUACUGAUCGAAUAUCCUGCCAGACUAGCUACAUUUUAUGCUGAUAGAAUAGCCACAAUUUCGAGUCUCCUGAAGAAAGUUGAUGUUACACUAUAGAACCAAUUGGUAAUAUGAAGAAUACCGCAAUUUAUUUGUAAGUCCAUGCAUGGUGGACGUACGAUAGGGGUGACGAUGGUGUGCAAACACAAACAAGUAAUCGUGAAAAAGAAGAGUCAGCCAGAGUUUGUUCAAAGUCUUUGCGUAGAAAAGACUAGCGCUGAAGCAUCACUUCAGCAAUUUCCAUUCUUUUUCCUCUAUCACACAUUGGAUGAAUGUAUCUUUCUGUCGUUGGAAGUGUAUACUUUUACUUAAAGACUUGUGUUCUUGACGAUGAUAUAACAGACCCGACUUAAAAAUAUAAUAAGUUUUUACUAAAAUCGCGUUUCUUGGAAAGAGACUCGGGAGAGUGCUCCAUUUGGAGAAAUGGACACUUAGCAGGUGCUUUUUUAGAAAACGCUUAUAUGGCCUAAAAGCACUUUUAAGUCAGAGAUAAACCACUCCCCCCGCCUCCUGAUCCGACUAUUGUUUAAUCCGUACAUUUCAUCGAACCAUGAAAAUGUUCUAAUCUGGAAAUGGAAGCAAGUAAUCAACACCAAAUAUAAUUAAAAGUACAAUGCCAUACCUUCUUGCGCUAGCGGAGAUUUCCUCCGCUGUCACUCUUUCCCGCAGCCGCCUCUGAUCCAGACGGCAAUUCGAUUGCAAUUUUAUAUUUAUUUCUAAGGGCUCGGCACUUUUGGUAUAACCCGCCACUUUUAAGUCUGGCGUGAUAUAGAAGUUUUUUUCUUAGAAUUAAAAAAAAAAUGAUCAUUAUUAAGGGAAGAUGAAGGAUUCGAAACUAUUACAACAAUUAAGGGGAGGGAGAGUUCCAAAUUCGGGACGCAUGAGUAGAGACGCAACGCUCUAUCCAGUAAGAUAUUGAACCACAUGCAAUACAGAGGCUUGAACAGUCGCACAACCAUAAGUACAGUUUGUUAAUAGAAAGUGUUACUAGCUGUCCUAGAAGCAGAACAACGCAAUGCGAGGUACUUCAAGUAAUUCAUCAUUCAUUUGGGUACAAACACAAUUGAUAAGAAAUAGUUAUUGGCUUGCUUGUGACAACCCGUCCCGGGAUUUACGGAACGAAAAUGGCAUUUUAGUAAUUUCACAAAUUUCGGGAUGUUUGUUUUGAAAUGGGUUUACUUUUAAACCUUAAUUGGUGUGCCAAGGGGCCCACCUUCUGUUUUGUCUCCCCUGGGUCCCCUCUUCAUUUUCUGCCACGUGGCAACUCCCACACCCCCAUCACCUCACUCUCCCACCUGAGGCACUCUCUCAGCUCUCUCACUCUCUAAUCCCUUUCACUCUCACAGACCCCUCUCUCACUCUUCUCCCCUUCCCCGUCGACCCACACACUCACACGGAGGCAUCACCACCCUCACCCUCGUGAGAACUUCCCAUCCCUCUCCACUGUCUUCGUGAACCUCAGGGGCACCCAGAGGACACCCAACCCAGGUCCAGCAAACCAUGGGUGUGCUGCUCAAAUCCGGCCACCUCCAACCUUUUCUCGACGAAACAAAGGUAACAAACCCUUCCUCCUCGUUUCACUCUUCGUUUUGGUGCCUAGAUCGGACCCUAUAGUGGUAUUUUGCUAUCGGCCAGAGCUGGGGAAGCUCCUGCGUCCUUUUCCCGUCGAAACCAGUUCGUUAGGCCAGCUCGUCCAAACCCUGUCGAACCAAUGCCUUUUGGGCCGUGUAUAGGACUCGGGGCUUAGGCCCAUUAGCCGUUAUACCCAAAAGCCCAAACGGUUUAGUUUUUAAUUUUAAUUAUUUAUUUUUCUUUCAAAAACCCAAAAGAACUGGGCCGAGCCUUUAAGCCCAAGCCCGUAUAAACCCUUGGCCAGAGGCCAAAGGGCUUCAGCCCGUUGAGCUUUAAAAACCCCAAACCCUUUUAAAGCAAGCCUUCAGGCCAUGAGAGAACUCGAGUUCGGCCCAUUGACCCAAAACCCAAAACCCUUUUGGGCCUUUGCAGUCAAGCUCAAAACCCUUAGGCCCGUGGACCCAAGCCCAAGCCUUAGGUCCAAACCGAACCAAGCCCAGACCCAGUUUGACCGACCCAGACCUGUUGACUUUGACCUAGUCUGACUGUUGAUCGGCGUUGACUUUGACUUUGACCGAUCAAAGGUUGACGUUGACUUUUUGUUGACUUUUUCGGGCUUCGGUCGAGACCUCUCCUAGGCUAAUUUCGACAUUCUAAAUCUGUUUUUGGUGUCCGUUUUCCCAAAUUCAAUUGUUUGAAUAGAGUUUUAUUAAUUUGACCUUUUAUUUGCUUUGGUGCAUUUAUUGUGGUGUUUCCAUCUUCGCUAAUUUGCAUGGCUCUUCGACGGCGAAGUAUCUGUGAGUGGACCCCUUCUAAAAUGCAUGUUUUAAUAGUAGAAAUGCAUACAUGAAAAGCAUGAUUUAAUGAUAACGUUUUAUGAAACAUUUUAUGAAAUAUUAUGCUUAUUGAGAAUCUUUUGAAUUACCAUAUUUUAUCGAACUCAUGUUCUUUGUAGUAUAAAUGAUGGAUGACUUUAUACUACUUAUGAACAUGUUUUUGCACACUUCUUUAUAGUAUAGAUGAUUGAUGACUUUAUACUAUGAAGAUGUUUUUGAGAUAUAUAUACCUAUAUUUGGAAAGACUAUGUUCAAUGGUUUUGUGCUUAUCUAGCAGUCACUAUACUGUCACGAGCGAGGAUUAUGGUUGUUAGUUGCGAGCCGGGAGAAAUAAUCUCUGGCUACGGGCGCAAAGGCAUGGAGCUGGCAUUAGGGCGGGAGAUAUUGUUAUUGGAUACCACUAUUUAGCACCCUAUAUACGAGAAAUGUUUCAUGAGAAGUUUUAUGGCAUGCUAGGGUUUCAGAAAACCUACUAUUUAUUAUGCUAUUAGUUUUCAUAAAACUUUGGGGGUUAAUAUGUUAAAUAACUGUUUUAAUAUAUAUAUAUAUAUCAACUCGGUCCACUCAUGUUUGUUUUGUGCACCUUCAGGACUUAGAAUUGAGGCAUACAAUCUCGGCCUCAAGGCACUUCCACAUCGGCAUCGUCGAGUCCUCUCGGUGUAUGACCCAUUCAUUUGCUCAUUCAAUUUUGUAUUAUUUCUUUUUAGCGUUUUAAAUUAGUUGUAUGCUCUGAACACGUUCCUCAUUUGCAUAUUAAUUACAAUUAAAUUUAUAAGUCUUAUUUUUUUCUUGUUCUCAUGCAUUCUAAUAUGGCUUCGUCACCUUCAGGUGUCGGCCAGCACGUGCUUACCCUAGUGUUUGGGAGAGUAUUAGGGUUAGGCGUGUCAUUGCUAACACAUCAUAUAAUUUUAGCCAGAUUACUCUAAUGUUGUUAUAUCAUCUCCCAAUCGGAUCGUUGAUUUCUGAGAAGAUCGUCCCGGAUAUGCACUGAAUGGAUUCAUUCGUAGCGCAACCUGGCACACUAGCGAAGGCAUCCUCGUUGUUCCUUUCACCAUACUUCUGAUGUAGUUGCAAUGCAAACUCAAGCCCCUUCACAACAUCGUUCAUUGUCGGUCGUUCGAUCCCACUAUCAUUGAUGCAACUCAUAGCAAUUUCCACAAACUUGUUCAAACACUCGGUUUCAAUCUUACCCUUCAUGUUUGGAUCAAUGAUUUGAUCAAGUUCCCCGUCGCGAUGGCAACUCUUGGCCCAUUUAGCCAAGUUCAUUUGCCUUGUCUCCACUGCAUGCACCACAGCUGGUCUCGAGCACAGUACUUCACACAACACUACACCGAAUGAGUACACAUCAGAUUUCACAGUCAGUUGUUGACGUCGAUAGUAUUCCGGGUCUAGAUAACCGAAACUGCCUUUCACGGCCGUGCUAAUAUGGGUCUUAGACAUGGUGAUUGUGCCCAUUUUUGACAAUCCAAAAUCUGAAACCUUGGCCAUCCAAUUCUCAUCCAAUAAAAUGUUUGUGCUCUUCACGUCACGGUGGAUGAUAGUGCCCUUGGCUUCGUUGUGAAGGUAGCGCAACCCUCGCGCGGCGCCAAUGCAAAUUUGGAGCCGUUGUCCCCAAGAGAGAGGUGGGUUGUCGGUGUGGUAGAGAUGGUCGGCGAGUGUCCCAUGUGACAUGUAAUCGUACACCAAAAUCAUCUCAUUUCUAUCAGUACAAUACCCAAUGAGAGACACCAAAUAGCGGUGUCUAAGUUGUGCGAGCAGUUUGAUUUCCGUCUUGAACUCGCAGGCUCCCUGCUUUGACUCGGGUUUCAGCCGUUUGAUGGCAACGAGAGUGGCCCCGCCAUCGAUAUGCCCUUUGUACACGUGACCAAAGCCGCCAACACCAACAAUGAAACCUUGGCUAAAGUUUUGGGUGGCGGCUUUGAUCUCCGCCAGUGAAAAGUAGCGACACAAAUCGGACGGUAAAGAAGAGCCGCGAGUCUUGGUUGACUUGGUCGUCGAAAAAGAAAAUGGACCCCAUUUUGUUCUUUGCUCGGAGCUUGAGUCCUUGACUUUUCUUCCUCUCCAGAAAACCAAAAAUCCGAACACAAAGGCUAAAACAAACACACCUGAAACUACACCGGCGAUGAUGGCAAACAGAGGAAUAGAUUUCUUGUCUGAAACUUUGGGGCUCUCCGGCUGAGCUAUAUUUGGCGGGGGAGGCGGGUCGGGGUUUGGUCCGGCGAGAUUCCUAUUUGAAUCACUGAGCUUGAAGAUCUCGAGUCCAUUCAAGAUUGCAUCGUUGUAAUUCGUCGACGGAUUUUUUGGGGUGGUUUGCAGUGCAAGAAAGAGAUGAACUUUCUUUUUACUUCCGGCGCCUGCAGGCACGAAAACGACGUAGUCUUUGUACACCGGCUUCCCAUAACCUUGGCUCCACCAGAUUACAUCCGCCAUCUUCUCCGCCGUCUGAUUGGCGAUGAAGAUUUGAAACAGCCGGUCCCUGGGCAAUGUAACAGCACCUUCGAACUCACAAAAAUGAAGUCGAAUAAAGUAAUAAAACGUAGAAUCUACCGGAAACCCCCAGGUGAGAUUAUAGCUCUUGUUUAUGGUUUUGUUCCUCCCCAUCGACCGAGCGGUUCGGUAAACUUCUUCCGGAGCAGAGUACUUCGGAAUUUUCGAAAAGUCGAGCUGAAUACUACUGUUUUGCGGUAGACGACUAAAAUUUUUACUCAAAUCGUCCAAAUAGUUGUACUCCUCUUGAAUACCAUCCCAGUUUCUGUACAUUCCAGUGUCCUGAUUGAACGAAAGCUGAGAUCCGCCGACGUUGAUCCGGUAGACCAUCUCCAUGGCGGUGUUAUUUUCGAUCCAAUACGGGUUUAUGCUGCCUACGUAAACAGCCCCAUCUGCACUUUGCGGCGGAUUGUAAUAAAGAUUGUCGGGCAUGGACACGAUUUCGAUUCCAUUGAUGAAGGCAUAGGCAUCUGGACUUGCUCUGCUCGGAGUGAACGUGAUGUUCAAGCUCUGUUCGGAUGCUAUGUUGAGACAGAACUCCCUGGAUACUGUCUCCGACCAGGAAGCGUCGGCGGUGACGGAGGCGUUGAAGUCGCGGAGUAGGGUAAAGCCGCGGGCUUCGACUGAGAAGAGGGAUUUUAAUCGGUCGAACUCGGCGGCGUAGGAAGUGGGGUAGAAGUACAAGCGGAUGAACUUUUGGCCGCUGGUGAGUGGAAAUGUGUACGUAAAUUUGGAGCGAGAGAGCCGAGCUGUGGUGUAAGGCACUUGGCUGGAGGAGGAGAUCGGGGUUGCUGCUUUGAAUACGAAUGAGCUGCCAGCUGCUUGGAAGGGGGAUAAUUUUGAGUUGAUAUCGCCACUCCAAGUUCGUUCGUCCUGUUGGUUGACUUGGUCGCCGGAAAAGCCGCACUGUAGGGUGAUGUCAUCGACCGGUUUGUAGACAGAGGGUGAGUCUCCGGCGACGUGUAAGGUUAUGAUUUGCAGAAACAGGGUAAGGAACAGAUAAGCAAGAUUGGGUUUCAUGGUAAGGUGUUUGCUGCAUAUGGAAACGGGGGAAUUUGUUGCUGCUUAUUAUCGUAAGCUUAUCAAAAUUCCAUUUAUAAUUAAACUUCUAAUGACUUCUCCCGGCACUUUAUA
rnacentral:lncRNA from 1 species